AUGCUCACUUCAGCAACACAUAUACUAAAAUUGGAAUGAUACAGAGAAGAUGAACAUGACCACCGUGCAAGGAUGACACACAAAUUCGUGAAGAGUUCCAUAUUAAA
ensembl:snRNA U6 U6 spliceosomal RNA